CGGUUAAAACGCUCGUAGUUGGAUAUCUGCUAAGGGGUUCCGGUCCUUCCAAGUGGAGAAUACGCGGAACUCUUCUUGGCAUUUGUUCAGGGAAGAUGUUUGCACUUCAUUGUGUGUCAUUUGAUCUGAAUUUUUACUUUGAGGAAAUGAGAGUGUUUCAAGCAGGCUUUCGCCGUGAAUAUGAUAGCAUGGAAUAAUAGCAAGGACCGUGUGUCUGAGCUGUUGGUUUUUGGCACGUGGUAAGUUUUAAUAAGGAUAGUUGGGGGUAUUCGUAUUUAACUGUCAGAGGUGAAAUUCUUGGAUUUUUUAAAGACGAACUAUUGCGAAGGCAUUUACCCAGGAUGUUUUUAUUGAUCAAGAACGAAAGUUAGGGGAUCGAAGACGAUCAGAUACCGUCCUAGUCUUAACCUUAAACUAUGCCGACUGGGGAUCGGACGUUGUCAACUUCUGACACGUUCAGCACCCUGAAAGAAAUCUAAGUCUUUGGGUUCCGGGGGGAGUAUGG
rnacentral:rRNA from 1 species